GAUGAACGCUGGCGGCGUGCCUAAUACAUGCAAGUCGAGCGAACAGACGAGGAGCUUGCUCCUCUGACGUUAGCGGCGGACGGGUGAGUAACACGUGGAUAACCUACCUAUAAGACUGGGAUAACUUCGGGAAACCGUAGCUAAUACCGGAUAAUAUAUUGAACCGCAUGGUUCAAUAGUGAAAGACGGUUUUGCUGUCACUUAUAGAUGGAUCCGCGCCGCAUUAGCUAGUUGGUAAGGUAACGGCUUACCAAGGCAACGAUGCGUAGCCGACCUGAGAGGGUGAUCGGCCACACUGGAACUGAGACACGGUCCAGACUCCUACGGGAGGCAGCAGUAGGGAAUCUUCCGCAAUGGGCGAAAGCCUGACGGAGCAACGACGCGUGAGUGAUGAAGGUCUUCGGAUCGUAAAACUCUGUUAUUAGGGAAGAACAAAUGUGUAAGUAACUAUGCACGUCUUGACGGUACCUAAUCAGAAAGCCACGGCUAACUACGUG
rnacentral:rRNA from 1 species